UACGUAGGGAGCUAGCGUUGUCCGGAAUCAUUGGGCGUAAAGCGCGCGUAGGCGGCCCGGUAAGUCCGCUGUGAAAGUCAAAGGCUCAACCUUUGAAUGUCAGCGGAUACUGCCGGGCUAGAGUCCGGAAGAGGCGAGUGGAACUCCUGGUGUAGCGGUGGAAUGCGCAGAUAUCAGGAGGAACACCGGUGGCGAAGGCGGGCCUCUGGGCCGAUACUGACGCUGAGGAGCGAAAGCGUGGGGAGCGAACAGG
rnacentral:rRNA from 1 species